UACGGAGGAUCCGAGCGUUAUCCGGAUUCAUUGGGUUUAAAGGGUGCGUAGGUUGUUUUAUAAGUUAGCGGUGAAAUACCGAUGCUCAACAUCGGGGCUGCCGCUGAUACUGUAGGACUAGAGAUCGGAUGCAGCAGGCGGAAUGUGUAGUGUAGCGGUGAAAUGCAUAGAUAUUACACAGAACACCGAUUGCGAAGGCAGCUUGCUAGGCCGGAUCUGACACUGAUGCACGAAAGCGUGGGGAUCGAACAGG
rnacentral:rRNA from 1 species